rnacentral:ncRNA from 1 species
UUUUGAAAAAGGCAAACCUGUCGAAAGGCAGGGACGCAAAGCCACGAGUCUAAAGCAUUCGCUAUGAUCGUCGGGCCGCCAAG